rnacentral:rRNA from 1 species
GACGAACGCUGGCGGCGUGCUUAACACAUGCAAGUCGAACGGAAAGGCCCUGCUUUUGUGGGGUGCUCGAGUGGCGAACGGGUGAGUAACACGUGAGUAACCUGCCCUUGACUUUGGGAUAACUUCAGGAAACUGGGGCUAAUACCGGAUAGGAGCUCCUGCUGCAUGGUGGGGGUUGGAAAGUUUCGGCGGUUGGGGAUGGACUCGCGGCUUAUCAGCUUGUUGGUGGGGUAGUGGCUUACCAAGGCUUUGACGGGUAGCCGGCCUGAGAGGGUGACCGGCGACAUUGGGACUGAGAUACGGACCAGACUCCUACGGGAGGCAGCAGUGGGGAAUAUUGCACAAUGGGCGGAAGCCUGAUGCAGCAACGCCGCGUGCGGGAUGACGGCCUUCGGGGUGUAAACCGCUGUCGCCUGUGACGAAGCGUGAGUGACGGUAAUGGGUAAAGAAGCACCGGCUAACUACGUG